rnacentral:tRNA from 1 species
GCAGUGGUGGUUCAGUGGUAGAACUCUUGCCGUCCAUGCGGGAGACCUGGGUUCAUUUCCGGGCUGAUGCA